CUACAACAGAAUAAAAAUAUUUUCUUCUUCAAGACUGGUUUGUUUCCUCUGGUGAAGAUAAAUUGUCAAGUGCUCCCACCUCUUCGAAGAAGGAAAACAAUGAAUUAGCAGAUGUAAAUACAGGCAAAUCUACUGCAGACUUGUACAUGCAAGACUAGUCCUGAAUGUCACAGGAGAAAGGCCAACAGAAACAGAUCUUCCGUGCUUCUGCUAUAAGUAACUGGAUUUAAAAGGCAUUCACUUACCUUUAAGAUGCAAGGUAUAUCAUGAAAGAGCUCACUGUCGCUUGUCAGCUUUGGCACGGAUGCUGCCCAGUGGAAAGGACCCUCGUGGGAGAUGAAUACUUACAGACAAAACCAGUCCGAAUGUUUCUGACAGGGCGGCACAAAGGAUUAAAGACAGAAACAGGAAACCCGCACACCUCUGCAUCUGAAAAGAAACCGCACCAGGGUAAGCUUCAAGUCGCUGGCUGCCUGGCUUCUAGCUUGGAUCCGCAUAGCAGGUCUUGCGUGAAGGAUAGUAAUGAAGCUCUCCCCAGUGACGAGGCAUGCCUCAGCAUUUUAAUUACAGCCUGUGAGAUUUCAGUUGUUUAUCUUAUUUGUGCUUAUAGCCAGUGUAUGUAUGAGCAAAACCAAAUUACGAGGCAAAGAUCCCAACGUCAUUUCCCAGUGUCAGGGAAUAUACCCUGCCAAGUCAUAUUUUUUCAGUGGGCAAAUGACCUCUUCAUCUUCACUAGAGUCAGAUGGAAAAGGAAGCCUCUUUGUUUACUCAAGCGUUUAAUCCGUCAUUUGCCCAUUAUACAUUUUGUGUCAAUCUAUCUUUAGGUUAGUGUCAAUUAAAUAAUUUUAUCAGUCCUUCCUACAAUUGAUGUUCUCAUUCCCACAAUUUUCCCUGUUUUUUUUUCUUCUUUAAGAAUUCUAAACCUCGCUGCUUAGAGAGAAGAAUUAGAAUUUAGCCUGAAGCCUGCCUUUUCUUGCUUAGCUUCCAAAAUGGCCUUCUGCUCAACUACAUGGUUUAUUUUCCCAUUGAGAUGGCUCUUCAGCAUGCAGAUUCCUCCACUGAUGUAUUUGUUGGUUUCAUUUUGUGAAGAAGUGUUAAAUCCUAAGGUGGUAUCAAGUGUGACCACACUGUUAAAGAUCAUCUUCAGAUACUGUUGUGCAGCAGCGUUUUCCUUUCUUAAAUCUGCUGUCCCAGAGAACAUCCAGCAUCACUAUGAACAGCAGAGGAUCCCUUUGGAGCAGCUGGAUCUGGCUGUGAUCUGAUGUGGAGCAGUGCCCUGUUACCAAAUCUUGGCAUGUAGAUGUGGACCUUUUUUUCCCAAAUUAGGAUCCAAAUUUUUACAUCUUCAGAGAUAUACAGGACUUCCAAAGCUGGAGUUGUCUUUGUGAAAUACAUGUGUAGUACAAUAAAUAUGAAAGAACAUUAAUUCUUCACCUGAAUUGUAAUAACUUCAAUUUACAAAUGUUGGGCUAAAAUGAAUGGAUACUUUUCCUCAGAUUAGUUCCAAGAUCAGGUAUGUCAUUGCAUUUUAUUGUUUUUCCUUUCUUCUUUUCCUCCCUCCACACCUUUCUCCCCUCUCCCCUUUCUUUCUUACAGCACCGCAGUUCAAUUAUUACUGAAAAUUUACAGGCUCCUUUUUCCCUAAAUAAUCAAAUAAAGCAAAUCAAAUAAGCCAGAAAAAAUCAGAAAUAUGCCUGGCAGACAGCUAGCCUACUAGUUUUCUUGUGUAAUUGAAUAAUAUUUAUCAAAUAAGCUUUGCAUAUACUGGAAAAAACAAGAAAAAUUACAGACAAUUAAAAUACUUAUGCCUGUUUUUCAUUAGGUAUCCACUGUCUUGAAAAGGUAAAUGUGCAUUAACACUUCAAGAGGAAAAUACACAAUUUCCUAAAUGUUUUUGUGACAAACGCUUCUCUCAAGGUAUAUUUUGCUAGCAUGAUAAAAAUAGCAGUAAUUUUAUUCUGUUUCCAGUUUAUUUCUCUUUAUAUGUCCAGGAUACCAUCAAUGUAUCUCUGUGAAAAGAGUUUUUAUCAGUAACUGCAGCAUCUGGCAUCACCCUCGUGAUUGAACAAAGAAAUGAAAUGCUGUGGGCGGUCAGAAGGGCUACCAAUGCUGGUGGGUAAGGACAUCUGCACAAAAAUAGACUCUUGCUUUCCCAUCUGUCAUUUGCUAAUCAAAAUGGUUUACUCCAGUCUUUGGAAGUUGGUGAAUUUGGACUCUGCUGAAGGUCACACGAAGUGUUUCAUCAUCGAAGUCCCAACACAAGAAACCCUUACUUAAAAAAAAGCUAUGUUUUGAUGGAUUGCUCAGUUACAAGAUGAUAUUCUGUGAAAAGAGUGGUCCCCUGUAGGAACCAGUAAAUUACUUUUAAGAUUGUAGAUGGUUUUUUGAAUUAGGAACAACAGGUGGUUGAGCAAAGGUGGUCCCACAGAAAGAUGGGAAGAGAAAGUUUCUGCUGGUAGGCUGCUCCCUAGACUCAGGAAAACCACAUCAAAAAUUUUCUUUCUCAAAAUUGGGAAGAAGAGAGGAGCAGGAUAUUAUUUAUUUUGCUUACCAACAUGCAAGCAGUGGCAUGUGAGCCCAGCAGUUGGGAAAGCACCACCUCUUCAAUGCAGCUAGUGGACAUUAGGGUGCAAACUUUAAUGUGACUUGAACUACUGGUUCUUAUGUAAGUACCCACAUGUCAGACCUUGCCUGAUUUAUGGCACAGGGAUUGCACAAGGCUCUGUUCUAUUCUCUAUAAUGCAGAGAUGAUCUGAGGACAUUUUUAAUGAUGUCUGUUCAAUACAGGUAACUCUUGCAUCAAAGUAAAUUCCAAAAACAUCCCAAAACGAGCUCAAUAUAUUUCAGUAUUCUUAAUAUUUAGCUGGUGUGGCUGAUAGUCUGCACCCAUUUCCCGCAGAACCUUGUCAAAAAUAUUUGCUCAGUUCACAUAAAUGUAGUUUCCAUUCAAGAAUUUCUGCUGGCAAUUGAUAUUCUGGCCCAGUGUAUUAGCUUGUUUCUACCUGGAGCCCUGCUGAGUGGGACUCAUGGCUGUUGGUUGCUAUAGGUUGCUAUUAGAACAGUCUAACAGUUUUGUAAGUCAGUAGUUAUUUUCACUGAGAAAUUCAACUCAAAUAUGAAAUGAGACUUAGCUAAAGGUGGAGGAUGAUGAUGGGUUAUGAAAUGUGGCACCUGAAAAGCUUCUAGUUCAUAAUUUUUCAAGUCUUGUGUAUUAAAAUUAAAAUAGCAUCUAUUUUAGUCCUACCAGCAAACAGCUUGCCAGUAAAUACUUGCUGAAAUUCUGGGUGUUUCAAGAGCCAAAUCUGGCCAUAAGCAGCAGGAAGAAAUCACUGUAAAAUGCAGGGAAGACAGAGCAGGUGCUUCUGCUGUAUUGUUUAGCAGGAGACACCCAAAUGCAUUGCAGAAGCCUGACCGUGCUGCAAGGUGAACUGAGAUAGGUGUUUUUCAUCUUUUUCUACUUGAAGAACCAAAAUGCCUUAUUUUUGGACUGGGUCACCCCAGUGACAACAUCCCAGGAACAACCCGUUCCCCACUGUUCCACACUGUCACCUCCAUAAGAUGAACAGACUGAUAACUGUCCCAUCUGUUAAAGGACAUUUAUGCCUUUGAUUUGAUUCUAUGAAUGACUGUUUUUUCAUCCUUAUAUUCAUUUACCACACGAGUGAGACUGCAAGAAUCAAUGAUAGCUUUUCAAAAUACUUCUGCAGAAUGUUCCUGUUGACUAAAUUUUGUUAGUUGUUCACCUUGUCAUAAAGUAAAUCUCCUUGUUAAUGGAAAAACCAUUACCGUAAAGUUAAAAGAGCUUAUUUUGUGCUGUGCUAAGAUUGCACUGAAUUGCAUCUCUGGAAUAAAGCACAGAUGUGGUUUCAGAUUUUAGACUGUGACUGUUAAAAAUGCCGUGUUUUCCCUGGCCCCUUUUUCAUUUGUAACCCAAGUACAAGAAGACAGCUAAUGACAAAAUGCUGGAAGGUCCACCAUUAACUGCACAGGCAGCAGUGACUUGCCUCGUAUUACCUAGCUCUCUUCACUGCACAGAUCUGAUAGUUCCUGCGUGCACAAUGCGAGCAAUUACUGGAGUUGUUGAACUCUAAGAAAAAUGCUUGUCUUCUGAAAUGGCAGCUCUGCCUUCUGGUCUGAAGCCCAGCUGUUAGAAAUAGGCAGAUCAUUUUCUGUUCUCCGAUUUCUCUCAUAACAGAAAUCUUGAUCUUGGUUUCAGAAAUUGUUACCAUAUCUUUAAAGCGCAUCACAUUUAUCUGUCAGAUAUCACUGCGUGGUCUACAGAUAGAAAAUGACAUUUGUAGUUUAUAUAAAUGGAAUUUACUCAUUUUAAGUAUAUUUAUGGUUAGCUUGCUUGCUUGAUUUGCUUUUUAUUCCUGCAUUAACUCUUAUUUGAAGAAUGUAUGUGAUAUUUAGGGAAAUUUUAAUGAUUUCAAAACCAUUUCAAUAUUUAGAUGCAUCUAAAAUAUUCUUUAUUAGCCUUCUGUGGGUGAAGACCUUUAAAAUGCAAUUGGUGUCAGCCACAAUGCCUUGUGAGUCAUUCUGGGCUAUUAAGAAGCAUACUAAUCAUUUCUCAAGCCAGCACUUUUAAAACAAAGUCCUAAUUCAUGGACUAUUUGGAAAAUGUUAAAUAGCAGAAUAGUCCUCAUCAGCAGACUAAUCCCACAGUAAGCAAAGUGGAUUACAGACAAAGUCUGUAGGCACAUCUAUGUAUCCUUAUCACUUUGUUUUCUGCACUCUGCUCUACUGUGCAGUCUGGUUCCUCAGCCAGUCUUCAUAUUGAAUUUUGCUGAAGUAGUUAUAAUAGUUAUAUAAUUAUUUAUAACAGUAAAUAUUAACUCUGCAGUUCAUGAAAUCGUUCAUAAAUGUACUUCCAUCACCUGGCUAAAGGAUGCAGCCCCAGUGCCUUGGGCUCAGAUAAUACUUCAGAAAAGUGUGCAUGCUGUUAAUGCUCGUUUUUUAAAGUGAAAAGCAGCAACACAAAAAGAGGGAGAUUGUCAGAAUCAGACAGAGGAGCACCACUGUCCUCAAGGUGAUACAAACAGAUUUCUCCAUUCCUCUCUCUGGAUUCCAUCGCUAUCUAGACUGCAGGUCAGAUGCUGACUUACUCUGCCUCUGGUUGAUCUGUCAUCUGCUGUUGUACCUGCUCUUGAGAGCAUAUUUUCUUGCCAGCAAUAGCUGUCACUGAAGUUUUCCUUUUAUCCUGUAGUUACGUCUCGAAGAAUUAGGGACAUUUUAAUAACUGGUACGAUGUUUCCUAGAAACACUUUUUAUUUAUGGUUACACUUACACAGUUACACAGUUUGUAUGAAUGCUAUACAAAAGAUGCUACCAAAAAAGCCAACAAUUUGAUGUUUUUUGGACUUUCCCAAUCAAUUUUUCAAUGUGUUGUGGCUGUUAAGGAAUUCGGCCCCCUGCCCUCCUGCCUUUCACCCUCAGAAAUACCUUCAACUCCUCAGAAAUGUACUUGUGGCAAAGCAGACAGAAUGCUUAAAUAAUGCUUCUGGACAUUUUUCCAGCUGCUCUGUGGGUUCAUCUUCGUAACCCACACAGUGAGGUUCAUUGUAACCCACCCGCACCAUAGCUGUUCCAGGGAUGUAGGUACGUGUGGAUUCUAUCAGAACAUCGGGGUACUCUCUGUAACAGUGUUUGGCUAUUUAUCACGUAAUAUGGAAACGUUUCAUUUCAAUUAAACAUCAAGAUAUAAGACUUCUAGGGAGAUUGCGUCACAGAUCAAAAUUAAUGAAGUAAUUUUAACAGGAAAGAAUUAAAACGUAGAUAUUUGCAGCAAACAUGCAUUGGGUGAAGUAGGAAAACUAUUGUUGUGCAAAGCUUGGCUUUGUGUAAGUGCUUUUCUAACACAGAACUUGUCAACAGAAAAAUAAGCAGAAAACUGUUCUUUAUGUGCUCUUUGCUAUUGACUGCAUCAUGAGGAUGUAGACUGUAUUAUUUAUUCCAAACAAUGACCAGUAUUUAGAGUCUAAAAGGGGACAUAAAGCAUGGGAAAAGUUUCUCAAGGGUAACAAAGUGUUUUUCAAAUAGUGUUAAUGCCAACCUGUCUGUAUUUUGGCACAUUUAACUUCCUGUUGCAAUGGUACGACUGAGCCUAAGUAGCUACAAAACUCAAAUAUAAGGAAGGAGUGUCACAUGCCAGCAAGUUCUAACUUUCAAAAUACAAUAUUUCUUCAUCUGCAGUUGGCAAAAGCAACCAAUAGCCAUGAAAGGGCUGUAGCUCAGUGAGGAAUUAGAGGGCUCUAAAGUCAGCUUCCACUUCCAAACUAACAUUUAUCCUUGUUGACACAGUAUAUGAAAAUACAGUAAUAAUCAAGUAGUGCUGUGGGCCUCAUUCCCUCUAGCUGGAGGCACUGUUGGAAUGCUAUUAGUAUCUCAUCUGAUAAGUCUGAAACCAGCUCAUAGAAAAGUUCCAUUUGUAUUUUAAAAUGUCCAAUUAUGCCAGUAUUUCUGUGAUUAAUACACAAUAGGGCUGUUUACACAAAUGAGAAAUGUUCUACAUUUCGAGCCCUCCUUUUAAUACAGAUUUGGUUCACUGCUUACGUUUUCAAGCAGGCACCCGCAGUUGAUCUGACUCAGAGAAACAGUAAUAGAUGGCAGGAGGAAGGAGAAAAGGAUCCUGCUCCUCAUAACCCCUGCUGGCAACUGUGACAUGUGGGCUUCCUGAGCUGAGGAGGAUUUCUAUGUAGUGAGACCUGAUGUUUUCAUUAGCAUUAGUUUUCAUUAACUUUUCUAACCACUUUUAAACCUGUCCAGGCUUUAUAUAGUUUACAGAUUCGUGGCUUGAUAAUCAAUUUCUUGUGGUGCAGGAAAUCCAUCAUUUCCUCUUUGUGAUUUUCUCUGUCUUCAUCAUGUUCCCAGUCCCUUUUUCCAGUGCAAAAGAUAAAAGACCUUUUGCAUAUGUGUGUCUUUUACCUUUGUUCAUCUCAGCCGUUGGUACUUUUAUUGUUAUUCCUUGUGUGUUUGUGGGGAAGCAGUAUUCCAGUACAGAUGGAUUCAGGGAGUUAAGGUCCUUAUUUUGUUUCUGGUGAGCUCUGAAAUCCUUCCAAUGUUUAGACUACUACCUAGCAUAAAGUUGCUAUUAGUAAAAAAUAAAAAGUAAUUCCAAGAUUUUUGCAAGUUUCACUCUGUUAUCAGUGCUAAAACCCCAAGCACACUGCUUGGAAAUUAUUGAUGUAGAACUUAGUCUGCCAUUUUACUGACUGUUUUUAUUCAGUGUUGUGAAAUCUUUUUCCAAGACUGUGCUGGUUACUUCCAAUUUCACUCUUCCAUUUCAGGUUAGAGGACAAACCAGCUCCCCUUUCCAUGUGCACUCUUCCACAUCAGUUAUGCAAAUACUAGAGCAGCCCCAUCAAUGAUCUGGGGUGGGGGAUUCUGGUAACUGAUAGGCAAGUUUUAAAGCCAAUGGAGGGGUAGGGUUGCCUUCACCAGAGCAACAGUGUCUUGAGAAGCCCAGAAACAACACAAGUUUAGGUUACAGGCUGGUAUGCAAAUGUUCUAAUGAUGAACUUUUGAUGACUGCAGUCAAUUUCUGUAAUUAAAUCAGAACAGCUAAAAACCUUAAGGGGAGACAGAAGACUGCUAUUGAGAUGAAUGCAAUCUUACAGAACAGUGAAAUGUCUAAAUGCUACUUGCAUUCAGUGCUAGCUGCCUAUCAGGCUCUCCUUAUCCAACACAGGCUAAGACAGAGUCCUGUGCAAGAAGCAACAGUUUUUCAUGUGUGGAGGAACCAAAGGUGAACACAUUCAUGAGCAGGGCUGGGGUUGUGCUGCUGUGCCAGUGGUGUUUGCCAAUAGCUUGACAACAAAGUGUCACAAGAGAGGUACUAGAAAACUCAACAGCUGGCUCCGAAUUGCUCAGCUGCUCUGAAUGAUACCUAUAGACACUUACUUUGUGCUUGAGCUCUCCUUUUCACAUUUUGUUACCGGGUCUUAUACAUUUUUGUCUACCCUGUGCUUGCAUUUGGAAAGCAUAGCUGCUGCUCUGCCCAAAACCUGGCUUAAGACAGGGUAGUUCAAACUGCUGUAAAGCACACAAGAUUAUUUGAUUUUUUUGCUUUAAGAAUAGAGCCGGAGAAAAUAGCUUUAACAAUAUAGAAGGUGAUGGAAGCCUCUGGAAAGAUCAGUGCAAAGGAAAUAUAAGUAUCACUUCUAUGGAAAUAUAAUUACACUGAAUGUUCCUUAUUUGUUCCAGGAGCAGCGCAACUGGGUGUGAUGGAGCAAAAGGCGUUUGUGACUGAUGUGAGCGAGGUAGGCAGCUCUGCACUAGGAAAGGCAUUGUCACAGAAACAAUCUGCAUAAGUUUCAUCUACAGCCACUACACAUGGCAAGGCAGCAGCGAGCAGUCCUUGCACAGAUUGAUACCACGAUGGCAAAGGCAGGAGAGGCCCAGUGUGUCAUCUGCACAAACAGCUAGAAGCCACUGUAACAGAGUAAGAACGCUCCUAAAGAUCAGCAGGCAACAACUCAGGUGAGUUAACUUCCUUUGGAUUGCAUUAGACAUUCCUUAGCCAUCUGGAACUUUGUUAUACCACAGAGACCCUGCCUUUCCCAUACAGAGUGCUAGAAACAGUUCAUAUCUGUGCAAUACCAAAUUCAAAGCCACACAGUAAACCUGUUUGUGAACUGCUGGUGGCAGCUGUUGGAAGAGCUAAAUCAAUCAUCUCACCAACAUAUCAUGAACAGAAGCAUAACUGUCAAUAGAUUAACAGCACCAGUACAAGUUUAUAGAUGAAGUCAACAUGAUGAUUCAGUCACCAAUACUGGAAAUCCCAUCUCUUACCUAAGUUUCUGAGAAGCCAUAAACACAUGAAGAAAAAGGCUCAAGUAUUUCAUGCCUACAGGAAGCACAGCAGGACCCUCUUUGAUGAAAGUUGAAGUUGGCCUCAAGAACUGGAGGCAUCAGUUCCUCCUCUUCCCCAAAUCCAAUUACAGCCAUGCUGGCCAGACACCAACAGAAGUGUCAACAUUUGCAGGGACAGAAGCUAAAGAACAUUUUGUAUUACUGAAGUACUCCAGUAUGGGCUGAAUCAUGUGCACACGUGCCUCUUCCUCCUAGGAUUGUAGAGCUGAGUGCAUUUAGGAUAUGCACCACUUACAUGGCACCUGGCUGCAUAAGAAAAUGUACUUUACUCACACAUGUGAGUGUAUCUCCAUGUACACAGAUUAAAAGUUCUCUGAUGUGCUUGGGUAUAUUGCAUGAAUCGGGUAAAUAACAAUAACUAACUUGAUGUCAGCUUCCACAUCACAAGUACAGAGAAUUAUGUCUUCAAAGUACUUUAAACCAGACAUACCAGUGCCAGCAUUAAAAAAAAAGCUGCACACUCAGUUUGCCCUUCGGCUUCUCAAUUCUUAAUUCUGAGGAAACUACAGCAAAAUAGAAGGAUGCGAUUCUGUAGAUACAUCAACAUCCCCAAACUCCUCUUUAUAACCCCUUCCAUUUUGAACGUUGGCUGACCAACAUGCACAAGUCCUGUACGGCUCACUCCAGAGCAGAACUCUCCUGUUCUCCAGUAAACUCUCCUCAUUUGAAAGCACAUCUCAAUGAUGGUCUAGCAGAGAAUACAGAAUAACCACCUUCAGCCUUUUUUUUUUUUUUUUAAAUAAU